rnacentral:rRNA from 1 species
UACGGAGGGGGCUAGCGUUGUUCGGAAUUACUGGGCGUAAAGCGCACGUAGGCGGACUGGAAAGUCAGGGGUGAAAUCCCGGGGCUCAACCCCGGAACUGCCUUUGAAACUCCCAGUCUUGAGGUCGAGAGAGGUGAGUGGAAUUCCGAGUGUAGAGGUGAAAUUCGUAGAUAUUCGGAGGAACACCAGUGGCGAAGGCGGCUCACUGGCUCGAUACUGACGAUGAGGUGCGAAAGAGUGGGGAGCAAACAGG